UACGUAGGGUCCAAGCGUUAUCCGGAAUCACUGGGCGUAAAGCGUGCGUAGGCGGACGUUUAAGUGUGAUGUUAAAUCGUGUGGCUCAACCAUAUCGAUGCAUCGCAUACUGGAUGUCUGGAGAAGGCAGAGGCAAGUGGAAUUGGCAGUGUAGCGGUAAAAUGCGUAGAUAUUGCCAGGAACACCAAUGGCGAAGGCAGCUUGCUGGGCCUUU
rnacentral:rRNA from 1 species